CGUUGACUGUGAAAAGCAGAAAAUGCUAAACCAGCUUCUAAGACUGUACUUUGAAGAUAAAAGAAUGCAAAACUGAGGAGGCAUGGAAAAACCUUCAGGACGGUUUGGGUGACUGGAUUGCAGACUGUGGUGUGCCAGGGGUAUAUGAAGCCAAAGUCCAUGACAUUCCUCAGAUACUUUCCCAAGUUGUGAAGCAUUUCAUCUUUCACAGAACUGCAAACAUGGUUGAGCAGUUUAAACAAGGAAUCAACUCUUGUGGCAAACUUUGGGAAACUGUGGAGAGGUACUGGAACACAUUUCAGUGCCUGUUUACACACACAGAGGGACCACUGACAAGAGCUGCCUUUCGGUGUCUUUUUGAUGUCAUUUGGAGUGACGAAGGGACGAACAACAAGGAAGUUGAAGAGGACACUAUGUUUGUAUGGGAAUGUCUUCUCAACAGUGUGCAAGAAAAACAAACUCCUUUCACCUUUGAGGACCUACUGGUGUUACGGGAGCAGAUGCAGUACCACCUCUUGGAUUUCCACAGCGACUUCAAAUACAGUUUUAUGAUCAGGGCAAUCGUUUUCCUUAUGCCUCAACUUGCUCUGUGACACUCUUCUUUCCUCGUGGCAUCCAGAAUUAAAAUGAGUUACUUGAUCUGAUGACUGAUGCUGUACUUGGUUCUUUGGGAUUUGGAAAAGUUUAGUCUGUAGUCUAGCCAGCUGUAGAAAGUUUGAAAAAGAAUUUCCAUAGCUAUAUGUUCACCUGAGGAAUUAAUGUUCUACACAUUUUACUCUCAGUGUUGAGCCUGCUUUAGUUAUUUUAUGCAUUGCAAUGCAAAAAAACUCACUGACCUAAGUGAGUAUCUGUGAUUU